UCAGAAAAGAAGGACAUCUAACCUCCACAUGUCAACUCCCAAAGCAUGAUGUUCUACACUAAACUAUUUUCUGUC
rnacentral:tRNA from 1 species